rnacentral:rRNA from 1 species
UACGGAGGGUGCAAGCGUUAUCCGGAUUCACUGGGUUUAAAGGGUGCGUAGGUGGGUCUGUAAGUCAGUGGUGAAAUCUCCGGGCUUAACCUGGAAACUGCCAUUGAUACUAUAGCUCUUGAAUUUUCUGGAGGUAAGCGGAAUAUGUCAUGUAGCGGUGAAAUGCUUAGAUAUGACAUAGAACACCAAUUGCGAAGGCAGCUUGCUACAGGAACAUUGACACUGAGGCACGAAAGCGUGGGGAGCAAACGGG